rnacentral:lncRNA from 1 species
UCCACACAUGUAUUUGAAUUUCCAAUCAAUACAAUUCUAGCAUGGAUAAUAAACGAUUAUCAUGAACAAGGAAAUAUAAUAAUAACAAAUUUAUUAUUGCCUCUAGGGCAUAUUUCCAACAGUCUCCCACUUGCACUAGAGUCAAUAAUCUAGUUCACAUCAGUAUGUGAUUGUAAUGAAUCUAACACCCAUACAGUUGUGGGGUUCGAUCAUGUCUUGCUUGUGAGACAGGUUUUUGGUCAACAGGUCGGAACCUUUCAGAUCCGUGUGUGUUUUAUAAAUCUCUAUUUCCAUCCUAUAGAUGCUGCUACCACGCGCCAUUUGGAACCAUUCCAAAUGAUUGCUCCACUAUAC